CCGUAGCUCAGUUGGUAGAGCGUCCGACUUUUAAUCGGCAGGUCACUGGUUCGAGCCCAGUCGGGC
rnacentral:tRNA from 1 species